GCCUGAAUAGCUCAGUUGGUAGAGCAGCUGAUUUGUAAUCAGCAGGUCGGGGGUUCGAAUCCGUCUUCAGGCUCCA
rnacentral:tRNA from 1 species